rnacentral:rRNA from 1 species
UGGGGAAUCUUGGACAAUGGGGGCAACCCUGAUCCAGCCAUGCCGCGUGAGUGAUGAAGGCCUUAGGGUCGUAAAGCUCUUUCGCCUGUGAAGAUAAUGACGGUAGCAGGUAAAGAAACCCCGGCUAACUCCGUGCCAGCAGCCGCGGUAAUACGGAGGGGGUUAGCGUUGUUCGGAAUUACUGGGCGUAAAGCGCACGUAGGCGGAUCGGAAAGUUGGGGGUGAAAUCCCGGGGGCUCAACCCCGGAACGGCCUCCAAAACUAUCGGUCUAGAGUUCGAGAGAGGUGAGUGGAAUUCCGAGUGUAGAGGUGAAAUUCGUAGAUAUUCGGAGGAACACCAGUGGCGAAGGCGGCUCACUGGCUCGAUACUGACGCUGAGGUGCGAAAGUGUGGGGAGCAAACGAGGAUUAGAUACCCUGGUAGUCCACACCGUAAACGAUGAAUGCCAGUCGUCGGAUAGUAUACUAUUCGGUGACACACCUAACGGAUUAAGCAUUCCGCCUGGGGAGUACGGUCGCAAGAUUAAAACUCAAAGG